rnacentral:lncRNA from 1 species
AAUUUAGCUGUAAGUGAAACUACUUUAUGCCUUGCCCACACAACAGGAUAAUCUGACUGAUCUUGAUCUAAUAGUGUAGGUUGUAGUUUGGACAGUUUAUUACCCUUAGUUGUUUGUUCUGCAUUUUUAAGCAUUGAUGCUUCUAAAGAAGACGGAUCUCUUGGGCGACUGGUAAAUGACGAAGAAAAAAAGCCCAACUGUAAAAUGAAGAAAAUUAUUGUACAGAAUAAACCUCAUCUCUGCCUAUUUGCAUUACGAGACAGCGCCUGGAGAUGAAAUAACGUUUGACUAUGGUGGAAGUGACUGGCCUUGGAGAGGAAAGGUUAGUAAAAGAAUAUUUGCUACUAGCUACUGGUUUUACUUACUUAACAUUGUGAUUGCUACUGAUUUUAAAUAUCAGCUUUUGUAAAUGAAAAAGAAUUCAGUGAUCUUAUCAGGAAAAGUUUAAACAUGUUGAAUGGAUAUUCUAUGUGUAUAUUGAAGUUAGGAGAGGCUGAGCUGAUUUUUCUAUAUUGAUAAAAAAAAAAACCCUCACAGGAAUGUUUAACUUGAUUGUUAAUUUUAAUUAUCUACACAAUUAAUUAUAAUACUAAGUUUGCAUUUUUUGCUAUUUAGUAAGACAGGUGAGUUUUGGUGAGUAUGUAUGUAUUAAGAACAGAAGUGUGAGACUUAUUGGAAUGUUUGCAUGUGAUGUUUGAAAUUCCUGUAGCCUGAUUCAGAGAUUAUCUCCAGUACUAUGAGUGCGGUUGGACCAUCCCAAUUGAUUUCGGGAGCUGAGAAGUAUGCCGAAGCUUCUUCCACUUUUGCCUCUCAGCCUGCUUACGGGAUCCUCUCUAACACGAUGGAUGCGGUUGAACCAUCCGACUUAACUUCAAAAGCUGAGAAGACAACCAAAGCUUCUUCUACUUUUAAGGAUGUUAUGUGUACCACGGCGUGAAUGUGAAGCCACAUGAAGGAAACUGGAACAAGAGAUUGACUCAGAGC